rnacentral:rRNA from 1 species
UACGGAGGGGGCUAGCGUUGUUCGGAAUUACUGGGCGUAAAGCGUACGUAGGCGGCUUGUUAAGUUAGAGGUGAAAGCCCGAGGCUCAACCUCGGAACUGCCUUUAAUACUGGAAAGCUUGAGUCCGGGAGAGGUGAGUGGAACUCCUAGUGUAGAGGUGAAAUUCGUAGAUAUUAGGAAGAACACCAGUGGCGAAGGCGGCUCACUGGCCCGGUACUGACGCUGAGGUACGAAAGCGUGGGGAGCAAACAGG